GGGGGCGAUUCGGCUUCGACGUGUGUGCUGGAAGCCAUGGUAGCGUGCCGAGGUGCUCGGAGCCUCGUAAAACCCCGGGAAAACUUUUAAGUGCCAACGACGAAUUGGCUCUGGCUGCGUAAACUAGCGUAGCCCGUCUCAUUGUGGUCCGGGCCCGAGGGCUGCCUUGAGACGUCGCAAAUCGGGCUGUGUCACCGAGGCAGGCCACUGGCCGAAGUGACGAGAUCGCGGUUUCGUGACCGCAGAGUGGCUGGUCUGACGGAGGCCGUUCGCGAUCCUCCGGACGACGAGAACCCAAUCGCGAACUACGCACGUAGAAAUCGUGGCGGAUGGGCUCGCGGACGCGGGUUCGAUUCCCGCCGCCUCCACUC
rnacentral:tmRNA from 1 species